UUGUAGCCCCAGAGGUGGUAGGCCGGCAGCGGUAUGGACGCCCUGUGGACUGCUGGGCCAUUGGAGUCAUCAUGUACAUCCUGUGAGUGGACAGAUGGACAAGCAGGCUUGCAGUCAGAUGGGGUGGGGGCAUGUGUCUGUGGCCUUUCUGUGUGACCCUUCCCCCAUGCAGGCUUUCAGGCAACCCACCUUUCUACGAGGAGGUGGAAGAAGAUGAUUAUGAGAACCAUGAUAAGAAUCUCUUCCGCAAGAUCCUGGCUGGUGACUAUGAGUUUGACUCUCCAUAUUGGGAUGAUAUUUCGCAGGCAGCCAAAGACCUGGUCACAAGGCUGAUGGAGGUGGAGCAAGACCAGCGGAUCACUGCAGAAGAGGCCAUCUCUCAUGAGUGGAUUUCUGGCAAUGCUGCUUCUGAUAAGAACAUCAAGGAUGGUGUCUGUGCCCAGAUUGAAAAGAACUUUGCCAGGGCCAAGUGGAAGAAGGCUGUCCGAGUGACCACCCUCAUGAAACGGCUCCGGGCACCAGAGCAGUCCAGCACGGCUGCAGCCCAGUCGGCCUCAGCCACAGACACUGCCACCCCCGGAGCUGCAGG
rnacentral:sRNA from 1 species